UCCGACCGUCAAUAAUACAAGUGGCAAAUAGAUUGAUGAUCGAUACCCCAAGUUUAAAGUUCAAAUUUUAGUUGAUUUAUAUUUUCGGUUUUAGAGUGUGCUUGGUUCCACAUAAAAUUGUAGAAAAAAAAUUUUUAGUGGAAAAAAAUUUUUCGUCGUUUGUGUUUGGUUUGUAGGAAAAAGAAAAUAGUUUUUCGUAACGGUUGUUUGGUUAAAAAGAAAAGAAAAAAAAAUUAAUAUAUUUUUUAUUAUAUAUAUAUAUAUAUAUAUAUUAUAUAUUAUUAAUAUAUAAUAAUUAUCAUAAUAUAUUUAAUUAUUAUAAUUUAUAUUUAUAAACAAAAUAUAUUAUAUAAUAAAUAUGUAAUAUAAUAUAUAUAUAUAUAUAUAUAUAUAGAACUAGGCUGGAAUACUAUCAAUAGCACCAAGUUGUUGGUACUAUUAGUUUUUUAGUCCUUGGAUUGAGAAAUGUGCGGUUAGGAUCAUGUGGGCCCUCUAGGGUUGAGUGGAUGGUUGGUUGAAUAGUAUAAUCUGACGGGUAAAAAUAAUCAAAGGGAUUAAUCUAACGGCAGAAAACUUGAUAGCACCAAGUGUUUGGUGCUAUCGAUAGCAUAGCAGCCGGACUCUAUAUAUAUAUAUAUAUAUAGGUG
rnacentral:lncRNA from 1 species